rnacentral:rRNA from 1 species
ACCUGCAGACGUGCCCCACAUAAGCUCUCACCAGCUAAGUGUGAUUGGGCUCGGUUAGUACUUGGAUAGGAGGCAUCCAAGGAAAACCCAAUUGCUGCUUAUG